GGCCUCUCUCCCGUAGAGCUGAAGAGAAAAGUUCUCCUCAGCCGGGACUGGAGCCCAAGAUGAACUCUUGAGGGUUGUUUUCUUUCGGGGCUGCCGUGAGCUGGGCAGCCGUGUUUUCCUACCUCAGACAUUC
rnacentral:snoRNA from 1 species